rnacentral:rRNA from 1 species
GAUGGUUCAUUCAAAUUUCUGCCCUAUCAACUUUCGAUGGUAGGAUAGUGGCCUACCAUGGUUUUAACGGGUAACGGGGAAUUAGGGUUCUAUUCCGGAGAGGGAGCCUGAGAAACGGCUACCACAUCCAAGGAAGGCAGCAGGCGCGCAAAUUACCCAAUCCCGACACGGGGAGGUAGUGACAAUAAAUACUGAUGCAGAGCUCUUUAGGGUUUUGCAAUUGGAAUGAGUACAAUUUAAAUCCCUUAACGAGGAACAAUUGGAGGGCAAGUCUGGUGCCAGCAGCCGCGGUAAUUCCAGCUCCAAUAGCGUAUAUUAAAGUUGUUGCAGUUAAAAAGCUCGUAGUUGAACCUUGGGCCUGGCUGGCCGGUCCGCCUCACCGCGUGCACUGGUCCGGCCGGGCCUUUCCUUCUGGGGAGCCACAUGCCCUUCACUGGGUGUGUCGGGGAACCAGGACUUUUACUUUGAAAAAAUUAGAGUGUUCAAAGCAGGCCUAUGCUCGAAUACAUUAGCAUGGAAUAAUAGAA